CCAUGUAAUAUGAAAAGAAAAUUUUGAAAAGAGCAAAAGUAACAAAGAGAUAAUUUGGCAAUGGUUUCAUGCAUAUAUAUAUAUAUAUAUAUAAUCAGCCUCCAAUAAUGAAUUACUUUAUUUUAUCUCUCCAUUUUCUCAUUCUAUUUCUUUUUUUUUUAUUUUCCCUUUCAUGCUCUUUCUCUCUACAUAUUCUCUCUCUACUUUCUCUCUUCACUUCUUCUUUCUACAUAAUUAAUUUCAUUAAAUGUGUAAUAUGAUAUUAAGAGUAUUUUUGUCAAUUGAUUUCAUUCUGUUAUAGAUUCACGUGGUGAUUCCAAAAAGCAAGCUGACAAAAAAAUGAAUUCCACGCACCUUCCACCUCAUUUUUAUCCUUCAUUCCAUUCCACUCUCCUUUUCCUUCCAUUCUCACAACCCAACAUCUAAUAACUUUAAUUGCACUUACAUAUUGAUCAAUUCAAUAUUUAAUAAUUUCAUAGCCGCACCAAGAAUUCAAGAAAAAAACCAUUAAAACCUUCAAGCUGGCGUGCAUGCAUUAAGCUUUCAAACUUUUAUGGAUAACAACAACAAAAAAGUCAAGAGUGAUCAACAAUUUCAAGAAACUAAUCUCUAUAAAUAACGAUCUUCUCGCAACACAAGAUCACAAACAAGGCAAAUUUCAGUACAAACCUAAGAAGAGACAGAAAAAAGUGUGAUACAUUACUUUGUUGCAAGGAUGAGUAUCGAAUGCAAAGGAAAGAGUUCAUGGCCAGAGCUUGUGGGAAAAGGAGGGAAAGUAGCUGAACAGAUAAUUGAGAGGGAGAACCCUCUUGUGGAUGCCAUUAUUGUGGAAGAAGGAACACCAAUCCCUUUGAACGUGGUCAAGCAGUGUGAUAGGGUUUGGGUUUGGGUUAACACUUAUGGCAUUGUUACACGUGUUCCAGUCAUCGGUUAAGGGCUAUAUAUAUGUGUUUCAAAAUGCUUGAGGGAAGGCCUACUUGAUUCUCUAGUAAAUACAUAUAUGUUUGUUGUAGUGUUUGCACUAUGUAAAAUAAUUCCUGAAAAAGGAUAAUAAUUAAGGAGAUGAUCCUAUGUUUUAUUCUCCAUUUGUUAUGUUAAUGGAAAUUAAAUAAAAUAUCCUUCCUCUCUCUCUCUCUC